rnacentral:rRNA from 1 species
UACGUAGGGUGCAAGCGUUGUCCGGAAUUAUUGGGCGUAAAGAGCUUGUAGGCGGUUUGUCGCGUCUGCUGUGAAAUUUCGGGGCUCAACCCCGAACUUGCAGUGGGUACGGGCAGACUAGAGUGUGGUAGGGGAGAUCGGAAUUCCUGGUGUAGCGGUGGAAUGCGCAGAUAUCAGGAGGAACACCGGUGGCGAAGGCGGAUCUCUGGGCCUUACCUGACGCUGAGGUGCGAAAGCUAGGGGAGCGAACAGG